GGGCGGUCCUAUGUUUUGCAUUCAACAACUAUUACAUUUUCAAGAUGGCCACUAAGGAUGGCAAAAAAAAAAGUCGUCAUCUUUAUUUCCUGUCAGUGGUAAACAUGUAAAUGAAAAAUAUGAAAAAAAGUGGUAUGAUUGCCAAUUAGAAUAAAUGACAUACAACUUAUAUGUAAGCUAUAAGUCUUCAUAUGCCAUAUGGCCUUCAACAAUGCACAAGACCAAUACUGCAUAUCUAUUCAGCCAUAAAAGGCCAAAAAAUUGGAAAAUGAAAAAAUAUGAAAGCUAACAGCCUGAUCUAUAUAUGUACAUGUAUGUUUUGUGAUUUUCAGAUCUAGACUCACAGCUAACUGAACUUUACAGCAGUCAACAUCAGAUUGGAAGACUGAUAAUGCUUCUGACAGAAACAAUUUCAACCAACCAAACAAGUAACAGAAACUUUGCAUCUUUAAAACACUACUUACAUCUUCCAUGGGAUGAUGUUCCAAAAAAUAACAGUUCAUCAUUAAUGAAGAUUUUUAUGUUAUGGAUUUUCUUUUACAAGAAAGUUAAUGUACACUUGUUUUUAUAGUAAAACCUUGCUGUUCAAGUAUCAAAAAAACAUUUAACUUUAUUGAAAUUUGAAGAUUCAUAUGACUUGUUUUAAUUUUGUUAUUUCUCAGGAUGUCAUGUAGAGGUACAGUCAUGACAGUAAUCUAAACAGCUAUUCAAUUUCAUUCAAAAUUCUUUGAAAAUUUGGCACUAGUAAAUAUAAACUGAAGUAAUUUGUUUUUCGUCUAGUUAUGGGAUUUUUAUGGCCAGUAACAAAGUAGUCGGUGCCUUAAGUUUUACCCUUGUACUAAAAUACCGAUUUUCCGUAAUUCCAUAAUUCAGUCAUUCCGAAACAAACCAUUAUACAGUGUUUUUUUCUAAACGCCAUAGAUAUUGGCCUGAUUUUUGGUAUGUAAGUUGACUAUGAUGAGUUACAGAUCAAGUAUAAGUUUUGUUCCACUCCCCUAAUUUCUGUUGAAAUUACCCGCUAUGGACUUUGAUAAAUUGUUGAAAAUCACAGUUAUAUGCACUUUUUUCCUAAAAGCUUUCAGAUAUUGGGCUGAUUUUUGGUAUGUGA
rnacentral:lncRNA from 1 species